rnacentral:rRNA from 1 species
GACGAACGCUGGCGGCGUGCUUAACACAUGCCAGUCGAACGGAAAGGCCCUGCUUUUGUGGGGUGCUCGAGUGGCGAACGGGUGAGUAACACGUGAGUAACCUGCCCUUGACUUUGGGAUAACUUCAGGAAACUGGGGCUAAUACCGGAUAGGAGCUCCUGCUGCAUGGUGGGGGUUGGAAAGUUUCGGCGGUUGGGGAUGGACUCGCGGCUUAUCAGCUUGUUGGUGGGGUAGUGGCUUACCAAGGCUUUGACGGGUAGCCGGCCUGAGAGGGUGACCGGCCACAUUGGGACUGAGAUACGGCCCAGACUCCUACGGGAGGCAGCAGUGGGGAAUAUUGCACAAUGGGCGGAAGCCUGAUGCAGCAACGCCGCGUGCGGGAUGACGGCCUUGGGGUUGUAAACCGCUUUCGCCUGUGACGAAGCGUGAGUGACGGUAAUGGGUAAAGAAGCACCGGCUAACUACGUG